UGAAAGACUUACAUCUCUUCGGAGCAUUUUACGAGGUGCUGCAUGGUUGUCGUCAGCUCGUGCCGUGAGGUGUCGGGUAAGUCCCACUAACGAGCGCAACCCCUACCUUAGUUGCCAUCAGGUAAUGCUGGGGACUCUAAAGGAACUGCCUACGCAAGUAGUGAGGAAGGCGGGGAUGACGUCAAAUCAGCACGGCCCUUACGUCCAGGGCUACACACGUGCUACAAUGGCCGAUACAGAGGGCAGCUACCUGGUGACAGGAUGCAAAUCUCCAAAGUCGGUCUCAGUUCGGAUCGGAGUCUGCAACCCGACUCCGUGAAGUCGGAAUCGCUAGUAAUCGUGAAUCAGAAUGUCACGGUGAAUACGUUCCCGGGCCUU
rnacentral:rRNA from 1 species